GCUGGGCGCGAUGGCUCACGCCUGUAAUCCAACCAGUUUGGAGGCCAAGGCGGGUGGAUCACCUGAGGUUGGGAGUUCAAGACCAGCCUGACUAACAUGGUGAAACCCCGUCUUUU
ensembl:misc_RNA Metazoa_SRP Metazoan signal recognition particle RNA